UGGAGCUACAUCCAUCCAGUCUGUGUGGAUGAGAAAGAGGUUAUCUCCCCGUCAUGUCUCCGCCAAUAUAUAAUAACUCUGCUGCUGUUGAAAUCUUACUAAGUUCUUCAGUGAAGUGAAGUCGGUGUUUUCAAGGUGAACUAUAGGUCACAAUGCGAAUGCUAUAUAGCAGAAUCUGUAGCUAGCAUUUAAGUUAGCAGUUAGCUCAUUGGACCACGCACCGAGCAUGAGCAGGCCGCCUGAUGGAGCUGUUACUGGGGUGAUAUACCUGGGACUAGGAUGUGAUAUCUGACAGAUCAGGAUGGCAGCUGUGAUGAGUCGAUGAUGUACUAGCUCUAACAUGAAUUUUUCAUCUGAGUUCAGUGGCUGGGAUGAAGAUCAGCACCUUAAAGUCUGAAGCCAUGGUCCUCAGCUGGAAAAGGGUGGAGUGCCUGCUCCAGGCUGGGGGGUUAAGUAUCUCGGGAUCUUGUUCAUGAGUGAUGGAGUGGGAGAUUGAUGGACAGCGUCCACAGUGACAUGGAUGCUGAACUGAUUCAUUGUGGUAAAGAGGGAGCUGAGGCGAUGCUCUUGAUCUACGUUCCAACCUCAUGUAUGGUCAUGAGCUCUGGGUAAUGACCAAAAGAAUGAGUUCAAGCGGCCAAAAUGAGUUUCCUCUGCAGGGUGGCUGGGCUCAGCCUGAGGGAUAAGGUGAGGAACUCAGAGUAGAGCAGCUGCUCCUCCACAUCGAGAGGAGCCAGUUGAGGUGGUUCGGGAAUCUGGGGAGGUAUAUUGGGCGUGUCCAACCAGGAAGAGGCCUUGGGGCUGACCCAGGACAUGCUGGAGGGAUUGUAUCGACCAGCUGGCCUGGAAAUGCCUUGGGAUUGCCCUGGAAGAGCUGUUGGAAGUGGCUGGGGAGAGGGCUGUUGGGGCUUCUGUGCUGAGACUGCUGCCCUUGUGACCCAUAUAAGCGGAAGACGAGUAUGAGUUUUCAGCUGUUUUUAAAGGAUGCUUUUUUUUUUUUGUAUAAUAAAAGGUUGAUUAUGGAAGGUAAUGUACCUACUUGAUGUCGGAGUCCCUUUUGUAUUGGAAGCCAGUCAAUUGUUGGCAUUAACUGACUCAUUAACAAGGUAACAGUCUUGUUUUCUGACCCCCAUUCAUGUUUACAGGACAACACAAGAUGCUGUGGGUUUGAACAUAGAGUUGGAUAAUGGUCAAUAGAUGUCUAUAGUCAAACAUAAGCACAGCAGCAUGUUCAAGUCUUAAUUACAUAAUUUAAAGGUUACACGUAAUGCAAAA